AUGCCAUUCCUUCCUUUAUACCCAAAAGUCAAGGGAGCUGAAUCUAUCUCUCAGUUCCGCCCCAUUGCCUUGAUCAACAAUUUUGCUACGUUCCCUGCUAAAGAGUUGGCGAUGAGGUUGUCACCUGUUUCCCACCGUACCAUUAGUCCUACCCAAUCUGCUUUUAUUAAAGGUAGGUUUAUUUUAGAUGGUGUUCUCUGUCUACACGAGAUUGUUCACGAUGUCAGAAUGAGAGGAACAAGGGCGAUCAUUCUCAAGCUUGACUUUGAGAAAGCUUAUGAUUUGGUUAGCUGGGAAUUCCUUCGCCAUGUUCUUCAUUCUUAG
rnacentral:rRNA from 1 species